rnacentral:misc_RNA from 1 species
GAAAUGCGAUAAGUAAUGUGAAUUGCAGAAUUCCGUGAAUCAUUAAAUCUUUGAACGCACAUUGCGCCCUCUGGUAUUCCUAAGGGCACGCCUGUUUGAGAAUCAGUUUAACUCUCAAACCUUUUUUUAAUGGGUAACUAUUUAAGAAAGGUUUGGACUUGGGACUCUUUUAGAUUCAACCCUAAAAAGACCUUAAUAUCAUUUGUUGCCUUUUUGUAGUCUUAAAUUUCAUUGAAGGCAUGACCAUUGAACGCAAGUUCUCAUUUGAUUGCUGAUAAAGUGGCUUAUUCGAUCUACAUAAAAGCGUACACUUAUAAAAUUCACGAAGAGUAACAUCUUUAAGACUUGAUCUCAAAUCAGACGAGACUACCCGCUGAACUUAA